GACACGGACCCAGGCCCUAUGGGGGCGCAGCAGGCGAGAAACCUUUGCAAUGUGCGAAAGCACGACAAGGUUAAUCCGAGUGUCUCCUGCUAAAGGAGUCUUUUGUCAGUUGUAGAAUCACUGGUGAAUAAGGGGUGGGCAAGUUCUGGUGUCAGCCGCCGCGGUAAAACCAGCACCUCGAGUGGUCAGGAGGUUUAUUGGGCCUAAAGCAUCCGUAGCCGGUUGCAUAAGUUUUCGGUUAAAUCUAUGCGCUUAACGUAUAGGCCGCCGAAAAUACUGUGCAGCUAGGGAGUGGGAGAGGUACACGGUACUCGAUAGGAAGGGGUAAAAUCCUUUGAUCUAUUGAAGACCACCUGUGGCAAAGGCGGUGUACCAGAACACGUUCGACGGUGAGGGAUGAAAGCUGGGGGAGCAAACCGGAUUAGAUACCCGGGUAGUCCCAGCUGUAAACGAUGCAGACUCGGUGAUGCAUUGGCUUGUGGCCAAUGCAGUGCCGCAGGGAAGCCGUUAGUCUGCCGCCUGGGAAGUACGUACGCAAGUAUGAACUUAAGGAUUGGCGGGGGAGCACCACAAGGGGUGAAGCCUGCGGUUCAAUUGGAUUCAACGCCAGAU
rnacentral:rRNA from 1 species